GACGAACGCUGGCGGCGUGCUUAACACAUGCAAGUCGUACGGUAAGGCCCUUUCGGGGGUACACGAGUGGCGAACGGGUGAGUAACACGUGAGUAACCUGCCCACAACUUUGGGAUAACGCUAGGAAACUGGUGCUAAUACUGGAUAUGUGCUCCUGCUGCAUGGUGGGGGUUGGAAAGCUCCGGCGGUUGUGGAUGGACUCGCGGCCUAUCAGCUUGUUGGUGGGGUAGUGGCCUACCAAGGCGGCGACGGGUAGCCGGCCUGAGAGGGUGACCGGCCACAUUGGGACUGAGAUACGGCCCAGACUCCUACGGGAGGCAGCAGUGGGGAAUAUUGCACAAUGGGCGCAAGCCUGAUGCAGCAACGCCGCGUGCGGGAGGACGGCCUUCGGGUUGUAAACCGCGUUCAGCAAGGACGAAGCUUUUUGUGACGGUACCUGCAGAAGAAGCACCGGCUAACUACGUG
rnacentral:rRNA from 1 species